rnacentral:rRNA from 1 species
UAUCCGGAAUUAUUGGGCGUAAAGGGCUCGUAGGCGGUUCGUCGCGUCCGGUGUGAAAGUCCAUCGCUUAACGGUGGAUCCGCGCCGGGUACGGGCGGGCUUGAGUGCGGUAGGGGAGACUGGAAUUCCCGGUGUAACGGUGGAAUGUGUAGAUAUCGGGAAGAACACCAAUGGCGAAGGCAGGUCUCUGGGCCGUCACUGACGCUGAGGAGCGAAAGCGUGGGGAGCGAACAGGAUUAGAUACCCUGGUAGUCCACGCCGUAAACGGUGGAUGCCUGCAUGUGGAGGA